rnacentral:rRNA from 1 species
GAUGAACGCUGGCGGCGUGCCUAAUACAUGCAAGUCGAGCGAACGGACGAGAAGCUUGCUUUUCUGAUGUUAGCGGCGGACGGGUGAGUAACACGUGGAUAACCUACCUAUAAGACUGGGAUAACUUCGGGAAACCGGAGCUAAUACCGGAUAAUAUUUUGAACCGCAUGGUUCAAAAGUGAAAGACGGUCUUGCUGUCACUUAUAGAUGGAUCCGCGCUGCAUUAGCUAGUUGGUAAGGUAACGGCUUACCAAGGCAACGAUGCAUAGCCGACCUGAGAGGGUGAUCGGCCACACUGGAACUGAGACACGGUCCAGACUCCUACGGGAGGCAGCAGUAGGGAAUAUUCCGCAAUGGGCGAAAGCCUGACGGAGCAACGCCGCGUGAGUGAUGAAGGUCUUCGGAUCGUAAAACUCUGUUAUUAGGGAAGAACAGAUGUGUAAGUAACUGUGCACAUCUUGACGGUACCUAAUCAGAAAGCCACGGCUAACUACGUG